GAUGAACGCUGGCGGCGUGCCUAAUACAUGCAAGUCGAGCGAACAGAUAAGGAGCUUGCUCCUUUGACGUUAGCGGCGGACGGGUGAGUAACACGUGGGUAACCUACCUAUAAGACUGGGAUAACUUCGGGAAACCGGAGCUAAUACCGGAUAACAUUUGGAACCGCAUGGUUCUAAAGUGAAAGAUGGUUUUGCUAUCACUUAUAGAUGGACCCGCGCCGUAUUAGCUAGUUGGUAAGGUAACGGCUUACCAAGGCAACGAUACGUAGCCGACCUGAGAGGGUGAUCGGCCACACUGGAACUGAGACACGGUCCAGACUCCUACGGGAGGCAGCAAUAGGGAAUCUUCCGCAAUGGGCGAAAGCCUGACGGAGCAACGCCGCGUGAGUGAUGAAGGGUUUCGGCUCGUAAAACUCUGUUAUUAGGGAAGAACAAACGUGUAAGUAACUGUGCACGUCUUGACGGUACCUAAUCAGAAAGCCACGGCUAACUACGUG
rnacentral:rRNA from 1 species